AUUGAACGCUGGCGGCAGGCCUAACACAUGCAAGUCGAGCGGAUGAAGGGAGCUUGCUCCUGGAUUCAGCGGCGGACGGGUGAGUAAUGCCUAGGAAUCUGCCUGGUAGUGGAGAAUAACGUCCGGAAAGGGGCCCUAAUACCGCAUACGUCCUGAGGGAGAAAGGGGGGGUUCUUAGGACAUCACGCUAUCAGAUGAUCCUAGGUCGGAUUAGCUAGUUGGUGGGGUAAAGGCCUACCAAGGCGACGAUCCGUAACUGGUCUGAGAGGAUGAUCAGUCACACUGGAACUGAGACACGGUCCAGACUCCUACGGGAGGCAGCAGUGGGGAAUAUUGGACAAUGGGCGAAAGCCUGAUCCAGCCAUGCCGCGUGUGUGAAGAAGGUCUUCGGAUUGUAAAGCACUUUAAGUUGGGAGGAAGGGCAGUAAGUUAAUACCUUGCUGUUUUGACGUUACCAACAGAAUAAGCACCGGCUAACUUCGUG
rnacentral:rRNA from 1 species